UACGUAGGGUGCGAGCGUUGUCCGGAAUUAUUGGGCGUAAAGAGCUCGUAGGCGGUGCGUCACGUCGGCCGUGAAAACCUGGGGCUUAACUCUGGGCGUGCGGUCGAUACGGGCAUCACUAGAGUUCGGCAGGGGAGACUGGAAUUCCUGGUGUAGCGGUGAAAUGCGCAGAUAUCAGGAGGAACACCGGUGGCGAAGGCGGGUCUCUGGGCCGAUACUGACGCUGAGGAGCGAAAGCAUGGGUAGCGAACAGG
rnacentral:rRNA from 1 species